UGGGGAAUAUUGCGCAAUGGGCGAAAGCCUGACGCAGCGAUGCCGCGUGGGGGAAGAAGGUUUUCGGAUUGUAAACCCCUGUCUUUGGGGACGAUAAUGACGGUACCCAAGGAGGAAGCUCCGGCUAACUUCGUGCCAGCAGCCGCGGUAAUACGAAGGGAGCGAGCGUUGUCCGGAAUUACUGGGUGUAAAGGGAGUGUAGGCGGGGAGAUAAGUCAGGCGUGAAAUGCAUGGGCUCAACCCAUGAGCUGCGUUUGAAACUAUUUUUCUUGAGUGAAGUAGAGGAUGGCGGAAUUCCCAGUGUAGCGGUGAAAUGCGUAGAUAUUGGGAGGAACACCAGUGGCGAAGGCGGCCAUCUGGGCUUUUACUGACGCUGAGGCUCGAAAGCGUGGGGAGCAAACA
rnacentral:rRNA from 1 species